rnacentral:rRNA from 1 species
GACGAACGCUGGCGGCGUGCUUAACACAUGCAAGUCUACGAGAAUAAGGUAGCAAUAUCUUUAGUAAAGUGGCGCACGGGUGAGUAACACGUAAGUAACCUACCUUUAGAUUUGGAAUAACCCCGAGAAAUCGGGGCUAAUACCGAAUGAUGCAGCGGCACCACAUGGUGAUGUUGUUAAAGUCUAUAUGACGUCUAAAGAUGGGCUUGCGUCUGAUUAGCUUGUUGGUGAGGUAACGGCUCACCAAGGCUACGAUCAGUAGCUGGUCUGAGAGGUUGAACGGCCACAUUGGGACUGAGAUACGGCCCAGACUCCUACGGGUGGCAG